GCAGUCAGUUGAUAAUGAAUAUAUUCUCAAACAUAAACCAGCGCAGCGCAGACUAUUGUGGAGCUGUUUUUCUCCCUUAAAACUUUGGGGUGCUGCUCAUUUUUCAACCGAAAACAGGAUACUCAACGAGUCCUGAGUUUGCAAACAUAGGUUGCUGGGAUAUUUGGUUUCAACCAGAACUGUUGCAGAAACUCGCGAUUCGUAAGAUACAAUUAAGAAUGACUAGUCAACAAUUUGAGUAUAAUUAAGUAAUAAUAAAAUGAUAGUCUUAGUCUAGCUUAUUUGAUAAUUGGGGAACAUGGAAAUGACAAGGAAGUAUCACAGGGCGAGUGAAGACGGUAUGCCGUCUCACCGCCCUGCAUUUGCACGAUUUUGAAUUCGACACGUAACUUUCGUCUCUCGACUCGAUUCGACUCGACUCCUCUAUUGUCAUUAAUGCCGUUAUUUAAACGGUCGCUAAAUGAUUAAUGACAGAGUCCAACGAAGGAAGCUGGCGAGCGAUCUCGCAGGUAUUUGCCUAUUUAUGAUCUAUUUGGGUAAGUCACUUGGAGCCGAU